rnacentral:tRNA from 1 species
GCCCUUAUAGCUCAGCUGGUACGAGCGUGCGACUGAAGCACAGUUCAGUUUAUGGCCUUCGGCUCCUCGAGUCGGAACAAAUCGCAAGGUCACCUGUUCGACCCAGGUUGAGGGCA